rnacentral:rRNA from 1 species
UACGGGGGGGGCAAGCGUUGUUCGGAAUUACUGGGCGUAAAGGGCGCGUAGGCGGUUUGCUAAGUCGGAUGUGAAAACUCUGGGCUCAACCCAGAGCCUGCAUCCGAAACUGGCAGGCUAGAGUACUAAAGAGGGUCGCGGAAUUCCCGGUGUAGAGGUGAAAUUCGUAGAUAUCGGGAGGAACACCGGUGGCGAAGGCGGCGACCUGGGUCGAUACUGACGCUGAGGUGCGAAAGCGUGGGGAGCAAACAGG